UCCGAAGGGAGCUAGCGUUGUUCGGAAUCACUGGGCGUAAAGCGCACGUAGGCGGACUUGUCAGUCAGGGGUGAAAUCCCGGGGCUCAACCUCGGAACUGCCUUUGAUACAGCAAGUCUUGAGUUCGAGAGAGGUGGGUGGAAUUCCUAGUGUAGAGGUGAAAUUCGUAGAUAUUAGGAAGAACACCGGUGGCGAAGGCGGCCCACUGGCUCGAUACUGACGCUGAGGUGCGAAAGCGUGGGGAGCAAACAGG
rnacentral:rRNA from 1 species